UACGAAGGGGGCUAGCGUUGCUCGGAAUCACUGGGCGUAAAGGGUGCGUAGGCGGGUCUUUAAGUCAUGGUUGAAAUCCUGGAGCUCAACUCCAGAACUGCCUUUGAUACUGAAGAUCUUGAGUUCGGGAGAGGUGAGUGGAACUGCGAGUGUAGAGGUGAAAUUCGUAGAUAUUCGCAAGAACACCAGUGGCGAAGGCGGCUCACUGGCCCGAUACUGACGCUGAGGCACGAAAGCGUGGGGAGCAAACAGG
rnacentral:rRNA from 1 species